CCGCGGUGGAGGGAAGCUCGGGGGGCCACGGCCGAGCGCCGGGGUGGGUGGCUGGCGGACACCGACUCGGCAGCAGCGCCCGCACGUGAGCGUUAACUCGGCGUCCGCCCGAAGAUUUCAUCCUGAUGGCUGCCUCAAGACCACUCACUGCCCUGGAUGGGGAUCCCAUGGCUGUGGAGGCCUUGCUCCGGGAUGUGUUUGGGAUCGUCCUAGAUGAGGCCGUUCGCAAAGGGACCAGUGCCUCCGAGAAGGUCUGUGAAUGGAAGGAGCCUGAAGAGCUGAAGCAGCUGCUGGAUUUGGAGCUGCAGAGCCAGGGCGAGUCUCGGGAGCGGAUCCUGGAGCGCUGCCGGGCCGUGAUUCACUACAGUGUCAAGACCGGUCACCCCCGGUUCUUCAACCAGCUCUUCUCAGGGUUAGAUCCCCAUGCUCUGGCUGGCCGCAUCAUCACAGAAACCCUCAACACCAGCCAGUACACAUAUGAGAUUGCCCCAGUGUUUGUUCUCAUGGAAGAGGAGGUGCUGAAGAAACUCCGUGCCCUGGUGGGCUGGAACUCUGGGGAUGGGGUCUUCUGUCCUGGCGGCUCCAUCUCGAACAUGUAUGCCAUGAACCUGGCCCGCUAUCAGCGCUACCCAGACUGCAAGCAGAGAGGCCUCCGGGCACUGCCACCCUUGGCCCUCUUCACAUCAAAGGAGUGCCACUACUCCAUCAGUAAGGGAGCUGCUUUUCUGGGACUUGGCACUGACAGUGUCCGAGUGGUCAAGGCUGAUGAGAGAGGGAAAAUGAUCCCUGAAGAUCUGGAGAGGCAGAUUAGUCUGGCCGAGGCUGAGGGCUCUGUGCCGUUUCUGGUCAGUGCCACCUCUGGUACCACCGUGCUCGGGGCCUUUGACCCUCUGGAUGCGAUUGCUGAUGUUUGCCAGCGUCACGGAUUAUGGUUCCAUGUGGAUGCUGCCUGGGGUGGGAGCGUCCUGCUGUCCCGGACACACAGGCAUCUCCUGGAUGGGAUCCAGAGGGCUGACUCCGUGGCCUGGAACCCUCACAAGCUUCUCGGUGCAGGGCUGCAGUGCUCCGCUCUUCUUCUCCGGGACACCUCGAACCUGCUCAAGCGCUGCCAUGGGUCCCAGGCCAGCUACCUCUUCCAGCAGGACAAGUUCUACGAUGUGGCUCUGGACACUGGAGACAAGGUGGUGCAGUGUGGCCGCCGCGUGGACUGUCUGAAGCUGUGGCUCAUGUGGAAGGCACAGGGCGGGCAAGGGCUGGAACAGCGCAUCGACCAGGCCUUUGCUCUCACCCGGUACCUGGUGGAGGAGAUAAAAAAGCGAGAAGGAUUUGAAUUGGUCAUGGAGCCUGAGUUUGUCAAUGUGUGCUUCUGGUUUGUGCCUCCCAGCCUGCGGGGGAAGAAGGAGAGCCCAGAUUACAGCCAGAGGCUGUCUCAGGCCUCCCAGACCCAGCAGACUCGAAUCUCAGGGGCAGCCAGGCCUCCUCCAGCCACCCCUCUCUGGGUCAGAGGUUAAGCUCACCCCCGACCACGAGGAAGAGCAUCAGCAUAACCGGGUAGAAGAACCCCAGGACGAAGCAGAAGAUGUAUUCAUGCACAACUGCAGACACCAGGAACACUCCCAGCAUGGCCGCCCCACGGGCCCGCCUGCCCAAGAGCUGGGUCUCAUGCAUCUGAAACUCACUAAGGAAGCCAGCAAGCCCCAGAAGUCUAUCUGUCCUUUGAUGAUCUGAACAACAUUAGUGGAGCAGAGUAAAAGGAGGGGAGGGCACCCGAGGAAGCCACCUUGCUGGGACCAUGAGAACUGAGGAGUGUGCACGGCUCGUACCCACAGCCCAUCUUGAUACACGUAACUAUACAGCCAGUCAUGGACCACCACGUUCCAGGUGCGGUAGUAGUUGGAGAAGGAAGUAGAGUUCCACCAGUCCUGGGGAGGGUGUGGAUUGGGAGGAAUGAAGGUGAGAUCUCAGGCCCCAGCUACCGCUGCUGCUCCGCACACCCACCCCUACCUGUAUCCUCUUAGAAGGGCUGGCUCUAGGUGGAGCAGAGACAGCAACACUCUCCCAGGCUUGGGUCCCACCCCCUUGCCUACCCACUCAAGAGGAGUCAGUCUUCCUGCUUAAAGGUGUGGGAGUGGCAUCAUCCCCACACCCCGAGGCCCACAGUCCUCAUUACAGGAGACCCAAAGCACUGGGAGGCGACACCCACCACCGCUACCCUCUUCCCUGGGCCCUUGGUCAAUCUCCCCGACUACUGCUCUCAGUGGGCCCCGGUCCAGGCCGCACCCGGUAGAACAUCCUGUCUCCAAACCGCAGCAUCUCGGCGAAGGCGUUGAGCCAGCAAUGCAGGAAGGCGAAGAAGAUGAGGAGCAGCAUGAAGAUGCCUGGCGGGCAGGACAAGAGAUUGGGCCUGGGAACUAGAAAGCACCAGAAGGUCUGGAUAACUGGGUGGUUCUCUCAGAAGAGGCCUGAGCACGCUCGUGAAUAAAGCCACUUAGUCCAGCUGAGGGUCAGAUCUGUGUCCGCUGGGCAACCCGCUUGCAAAGGCAGAGCUUUGCAUCUUCUGGCUUCAUCCAAGCAGCCAAGAGGAUCCAGGAGUUCAUAAUGGGUCAGCGGGACACCUCACCUCUGACACAAAGGAUCCCAGAAUCACAGGUUCACCAAACCCAAGGCUAUAUUGACCUGGUCUUGGAGCCCCCAGGUCCUCACCUGCUCAAAGACCAGCACGCAUCUUGAGGCGGGCGGAAGCUGAUGCUUCACCGCUAUGUGGACUGGGAGGACGCAGAGCAUCGCUGCAUGACCAGCCAGCAGAACACAGCC